rnacentral:rRNA from 1 species
GCAUUCAGUUGCCAUCGGUAAGGCCGGGCACCUCUGGAUGGACUGCCGGCGACAAGCCGGAGGAAGGUGGGGAUGACGUCAAGUCAUCAUGGCCCUUAUGUCCAGGGCGACACACGUGCUACGAUGGCCGGCACAACGGGAAGCGAAGGGGCGACCCUGAGCGGAUCCCCAUAAAAGCCGGUCCCAGUUCGGAUUGCAGUCUGCAACUCGACUGCAUGAAGUUGGAAUCGCUAGUAAUCGUGGAUCAGCCAAGCCGCGGUGAAUACGUUCCCGGGCCUU